rnacentral:rRNA from 1 species
AUUGAACGCUAGCGGGAUGCCUUACACAUGCAAGUCGAACGGCAGCACGGACUUCGGUCUGGUGGUGAGUGGCGAACGGGUGAGUAAUGUAUCGGAACGUGCCUAGUAGCGGGGGAUAACUACGCGAAAGCGUAGCUAAUACCGCAUACGCCCUACGGGGGAAAGCAGGGGAUCGUAAGACCUUGCACUAUUAGGUCGGCCGAUAUCGGUUUAGCGAGUUGGUGGGGUAACGGCUCACCAAGGCGACGAUCCGUAGCUGGUUUGAGAGGACGACCAGCCACACUGGGACUGAGACACGGCCCAGACUCCUACGGGAGGCAGCAGUGGGGAAUUUUGGACAAUGGGGGAAACCCUGAUCCAGCCAUCCCGCGUGUGCGAUGAAGGCCUUCGGGUUGUAAAGCACUUUUGGCAGGAAAGAAACGUCAUGGGUUAAUACCCCGUGAAACUGACGGUACCUGCAGAAUAAGCACCGGCUAACUACGUGCCAGCCGCCGCGGUAAGAC